UGGAGACAGACAAUUAAAAAAAAAAAAAACUUAGACCCAAAAAAAAAAUAUUCGCAGAUCUCUUCUCCUCUCUAUCGUUGAUGUCUGACCUACUCUUCUACUGUCUCCCCCGCUAUGGCUGAACCACGCUCCCCCACACUCAUACUCCUCGUCCACCUCCUCCGUCUCUCUUUCAUUCGACCCAGCUCACCCAAACCCUACAUCACCUUGCAUAUAAGACUAGAAUUGAAAAUUCAUUCUCUUUGUGGUUUCAACAAGUCUAAAUGAAUUCAAUGUGGCAACGUCUCUCAUUUCGGAACAUUCAUAAUUGUUCCUUGUUGCAAAUGGUGUAUCUGAUUUUAACAAGAAGAGGAACCACGGGAAGAGUCUAAGCCUAUCUCACAUGCGUUAAGAGAAGACAGAACAUCCCAGGUGCGUUUAUGAGCAGCUCCACUGUCCUAAAAGCUGGAAUCAAUCACAAAGUUAUAUUAACUUUCUAGUCUCUUAUUUGUAAUGUCCAUUUCCUCUUCUAAACACACCAGUUUGAAUUUCAUUAGACCUGUGAGUAUUGUGAAUGAUGUAACCUAAACAUAAUAACAAUAUUGCUCCCCCAUGUACGUGUUUUCUACAACUCUCUACUCUUUUCAUGUAUAUAUAUUUUUGCUGUUGUUUCCCCAUCUGUGUUGUGUAACUGUGUUCUUACAAAUGUUUUUGGGUGUAGGAAGUUGCUACUUUUGGGACUGUAAGUCGUCCUUAAGUAUUGUGUUGAGAUUGAGUUUCUCGAUAAAGUGGAGAUAGUGAGUAAUGAUAGCUGCAAAAAAGGUCAAGUUCAGUUUAUUUCAGUUUCCAGUGGGUGGUAUUCACAGGCAACUCAAGUACACAUGGUAAAGUUGGUGCCACCGCUGCCUUCUGCUGCUACAAUCCUUGAGUACUUUACUGCAGAGGUUCUUGAGUUAGCUGGAAAUGCUAGCAAAUAUCUAAAAGUCAAGAGUAUAACUCCAUAGUAUCUGUAGUUGGCCAUCAGAGGAAUGUGGGAAAUGGGAAUGAUAAGUUUAGGACAUGAUUUUGUGUUUUGUUUAUGACUUGGUUUGAUGGUUACAUGGUCUCUUCUAGAGUUCAUGUUUGUAAUAUGUUCACUUUGUAUGCUUUUCUUUAAUGGAAAAGAAUUUGUAAUUUAUGAUUUUUUUGUUGGAUU